UAUGGGGCGCAGUAGGCGCGAAACCUCUGCUAAUAUGGCGAAAGCUUGACAGGGUUACUCUGAGUGAUGCCCGCUAAGGGCAUCUUUCUGCGCACCUCUAAAAAUGGUGCAGAAUAAGGGGUGGGCAAGUCUGGUGUCAGCCGCCGCGGUAAUACCAGCACCCCGAGUGGUCGGGACGAUUAUUGGGCCUAAAGCAUCCGUAGCUGGUUCCUGCAAGUCCUCCGUUAAAUCCACCUGCUCAACAGAUGGGCUGCGGGGGAUACUACAGGGCUAGGAGGCGGGAGAGGCAAACGGUACUCAGUGGGUAGGGGUAAAAUCCACUGAUCCACUGAAGACCACCAGUGGCGAAGGCGGUUUGCCAGUAACGCGCUCGACGGUGAGGGAUGAAAGCUGGGGGAGCAAACCGGAUUAGAUACCCGGGUAGUCCCAGCUGUAAACGAUGCAGACUCGGUGAUGGGCUGGCUUCGCGCUAGCCCAGUGCCGCAGGGAAGCCGUUAAGUCUGCCGCCUGGGGAGUACUGUCGCCAGACUGAAACUUAAAGUUACUGGCGGGGGAGCACCACAAGGGGUGAAGCGUGCGGUUCUAUUGGAGUCAACGCCGGAAAUCUUACCGGGGGCGACAGCAGUGUGAAGGUCAAGCUGAAGACUUUACCAGACAAGCUGAGAGGAGGUGCAUGGCCGUCGCCAGCUCGUGCCGUGAGGUGUCCUGUUAAGUCAGGUAACGAGCAAGAUCCCUGCCUCUAGUUGCUACCACUGCUCUCAGGAGCAGAGGGGCUAAUUAGAGGGACCGCCGCCGCUGAGGCGGAGGAAGGAGGGGGCUACGGCAGGUCAGUAUGCCCCGAAACCCUCGGGCCACACGCGGGCUGCAAUGGUAGGGACAGCGGGCCCCGAUUCCGAAAGGAGGAGGCAAUCCCUCAAACCCUACCCCAGUUAUGAUUGAGGGCUGAAACUCGCCCUCAUGAAUAUGGAAUCCCUAGUAACCGUCGUGUCACUAUCGUCGCGGUGAAUACGUCCCUGUCUCCUUGUCACACACCGUCCCGUCGUCUUCACCGAAGCUGGUUCUUGGUCGAGGUGGUCGUCCUAAUUGGUGUCUAUCGAACCUGGGGU
rnacentral:rRNA from 1 species